AUUGAACGCUGGCGGCAGGCUUAACACAUGCAAGUCGAGCGAGCGGCGGACGGGUGAGUAAUGUCUGGGAAACUGCCUGAUGGAGGGGGAUAACUACUGGAAACGGUAGCUAAUACCGCAUACCAUCAGAUUUGCCCAGAUGGGAUUAGCUAGUAGGUGGGGUAAUGGCCUACCAAAGCGACGAUCCGUAACUGGUCUGAGAAGAUGAUCAGUCAAAGUGGAACUGAGACACGGUCCAGACUCCUACGGGAGGCAGCAGUGGGAAAUAUUGGACAAUGGGCGGAAGCCUGAUCCAGCCAUGCCGCGUGUGUGAAGAAGGUCUUCGGAUUGUAAAGCACUUUAAGUUGGGAGACGUUGCCAACAGAAUAAACACCGGCUAACUGCGUGCCAGCCGCCGCGGUAAAAC
rnacentral:rRNA from 1 species